AGCCAUUCUAAUAUAAAUGAAUGGUGUUACCUGGUCAGUGGCUUUGAAAAUAAUAAAAGUUAAACACAUGUCUUAAAAUGAGGACAAUAAUGUAGCAUAAUAAUUUGACAUUUAAUUGGUGUAGGGUAUGAAUGGUGUUAUGAUUUUAUCUUUGUCUCAUCUCAUAAGUCUUAAUAAAUUGAAAAAAGUAUGAAAAUAUAUUUAAAUGAAUAUUAGACGAAAAGACCCCGUAAACCUUUAUUGACUUUGAAAUAGAAGUAUUUUUAGCUGGGAUGGCUACUUCUUAUGAAAAACAGAAGUAUUAUACAUAUUUAAUUUGAUAUAUCAAUGAUCGAUAGCAAAUGACCAUCUUUUAAAUAAAUGAGUUUUUAAAUAUAUGAAGAUAUUAGUAGAAAAAAGGUACUUCGGGGGUAACAGCAUAAUUUAUUUAUAGAGAUGAUAUUUAUGAAUAGGCUUAUGACUUCGAUGUUGAAUUGAUUUUACCAUAGUAGGUGCAGAAGCUGUGAAGGUUUGGACUGUUCGUCCAUUAAAAAAUU
rnacentral:rRNA from 1 species